CUCAGAAGUCUUCGAGUUGCCGUAGGAGGCGGUUGGGCCGUGGGGCUCUCCCGGGCUGGGCCUUGGCGGCCCUGGUGGCCCUGGUGGCCCCGGCCCUCAUCCUCCGGCCUUCAGGGUCCCGAUUCCACACCCCACGCUGUGGUGUCCUUGAAUCCCUGGGCCCCCCAGCCUGGUAUGUGAGGCCCCCAGGCCGGCAGACUCAAUGGAAGUCCAGUGUGAGUGCUUUGCAAGAAGAUGGAAUGGUACAGACCAGGCCAGCAAACUGAAAUGGAAGUUAAGUGAAGGGAAGUAAUAUAAAAUAUUACUGGAAAGGUAUGUGGGAGCCAUAUUGAGAAGGUCUUAAGUGUGAGGCUGAGGAGUUUGUAUUAUAUCCACAUGCGGUUGGGAGCCACUGAAGAUUACUGAGAGUAAAAGUGACAUAGACAGAUCU
rnacentral:lncRNA from 1 species